AUUAACGCUAGCGGCAGGCAUAAUACAUGCAAGUUGAACGGCAGCACAGGUAGCAAUACCGGGUGGCGAGUGGCGCACGGGUGCGUAACACGUAUGCAACCUACCCUAUACAGGCGAAUAACCUUUAGAAAUGAGGGCUAAUACGCCGUAGUAUUAUCUUAGGGCAUCUUAAGAUAAUUAAAGAUUUAUCGGUAUAGGAUGGGCAUGCGUCCCAUUAGUUAGUUGGUAGGGUAACGGCUUACCAAGGCUAUGAUGGGUAGGGG
rnacentral:rRNA from 1 species